GGACGUGUCUUCCAAACAGAGUAUAGUUCCAAAGAAGACAUGGUAUCCCAGCAACCAAAUGUACAACACAGGAGACAGAUGAAUUUCUCAUUCUUGUAGGCUACCAUUUCUUUUGGCUUAUUACAAAACAACAGGAUGCUGCAGCUUUAUCAAAGUCUACUUAUUUGUCCACUAAAAGUUUAUGGCUAUACGUUUCCAACUAGAACAUCUGAACACCAAUAUAUGGAAUUCUGACAAAGUUAAAACCAGGAAGAGAUCCUAUGAAGGCUGACAUUUUGUACAUCUGUUUUAUAGAACAAUAAAAAUAAGAAGAACAAGAAUAAGAACAGCAACAACAUUUGCAGCCACUGUCUAGACCACAGGAAACCUGGUCAACAACAUAUGGGAUGUCACCAGAUUCAGACUCAGAAGUUUCCAUAAUGCCGUUGCCAACAGCUAGACACAAGUCUACCCUGGUAAAUCCGUUACUUGCACCUUGGAAUAAUAUAUACUCUGCCCUUGUUGACUGAGGUACUGUAUAAACAUCAAUGAAAUCAAAAUAGUUGAUGAUAUUUAAUGUAUCAUUUAGACCUUUAAAAUGUUGGUGAUUUUUCUUUAGUUGUUUUAUCCAUUGUUGAGAAAGAGGUACUAAUGUCUUCAAUUAUAAUUAUCAAACUAUCUCUACUUUUAAUUCUGUCCAUUUUUCCUUCAUGCCACUGAAAGCUCUGAUAUAUUGAAUUCAUAGAUGUUCAUGGUGCUAUGCCUUC
rnacentral:lncRNA from 1 species